rnacentral:lncRNA from 1 species
UACAUUUUGGGUUGUUUUGGCUUUGUUUUAUUUUCUCCCCUUCCUUCUCCUCCCCUUCCCCCCUCCUCUUUCUUCUUCCCUGGUCAUUCUAGGAGCUGGGGCCCCAGCGAUGAACAAGACCCAGGCACCGCCCUCAAGGAGCCCACACUGGUGUUCAAGUGCCAGGCAAGUCCUUCCUUCCUUGAUGAGAGUCAGCGUGCGCAGAGUUCAAUAAACUUGGAGAAGCUCAUUAUUAUUCAUCAACUUCAAAGAGACUGGCCUGGGCCCCUUGGACAGGACUCAGAGCAGUUUCCUAAUCACGGGCAGAAAGAAAAGGAGACCAGGACACAUGGACUUCGAUUAUUACCCUGUCGUAUCACCCUGUGGAUUUUCCAGGUGGUGCUAGUGGUAAAGAACCCUCCUGCCAAUGCAGGAGACCUAAGGGGCAUGGCUUUGAUACCUGGGUUGGGAAGAUUCCCCCAGAGGAGGGCACUGCAACUCACUCCAGUAUUCCUGCCUGGAGAAUCCUAUGAUGGAGGAGCCUGGCGGGCUGUGGUCCAUGGGGCUGCACAAAGUUGGACACCACGGAAGUGACUUAGCAUGCGUGAAUGCAUGACUCUGUAUUGUAGCUUCAUUCCAUUCAGACCUGGAAAGCUCAUCUUGUAACCCAACCAUUUUCCCCUCAGAGUCUGAGCAUGUGGCUUCCCAGUUACCAUGGAUGCUUUUUAAAAAAUGGAGAUUCCUGGUAUCUGCCCCAUAUUCAUUAAAUCAGAAUUUCUGGGGAUGGUUCCACGAACCUGGAUUUUUAGCAAGUUCUUCAGUGAUUUUUAUAGUCUAGAGUUUGGGUAUUUUGGCCCUAACCUCACCAGCCCAGUAUGACUCAUGUACAGUCAUGCUUUGGAUCCAAAAUAUUGAGGAUGAAGUCUUAAGAACAAGCUUAACAGGAAUGCCAUACAUUUUACCCUGUGAAGAUGGACAUUCUGAGGACAAGGAUGAACAAAGGGCUGAUUAUUAGGUUACCAAUUACAUUGACUCUAGAGAUUAUAGGUGGAAACUCCUAUGACUGGUUUCAAGGCUCCCCUUCAUUGACUGUGAUAUAAGAAGAAAUUUCCUGAUCCAGUUUCUCGGAGGGUGAAGAGCUAACUGCCUCCAGCACUGGCGUUCUAUCAGUUAUCCAUUGCCACAGACCUGCUGUGCGACAUACAACUGCAAAACCUCAAUGGCUCACAAUGCAUACUGAGCU